CUCUGUGCUCAUAGCGGCAUGGUACCACCCGUUCCCAUUCCGAACACGGAAGUGAAACGUGCCUGCGCCGAUGGUACUUGGCUCGAAGGGGCCUGGGAGAGUAGGGCAGUGCAGAGG
rfam:Meiothermus ruber DSM 1279 genome.